rnacentral:lncRNA from 1 species
AGUAGCCCACCUGUUGUACCUCCCUCUGCAGCACACAUGAUUGAAUUCUGAAUUAUUAGGCCCACAUCCAUUUGUUUCCUUUUACAAGAUAAUAUAGAAGCACUGUCCGCUCCUUACUCACAUCACUGACGUGAGUACAAGGCAUUAACUUGGCGCAAAUGAAAGCAUAACAAGCCUUUCCGUACCGAUUGGGCCGCGAAUGUGGAAAUUCUAUGCUCCUGCGCUCGUGAGUCCUCCAAGUAGUGCCUAAUUGACACAAUUCCUGAAUGAGUUGCUCAUAAUUAGGUCCUUGACUUACAAAUGUUGAAUACUGGUUGAUGUGACCCAAGUGUGGAAAAUUGUAG